rnacentral:rRNA from 1 species
AAAUUGAAGAGUUUGAUCAUGGCUCAGAUUGAACGCUGGCGGCAGGCCUAACACAUGCAAGUCGAACGGUAACAGGAAGCAGCUUGCUGCUUCGCUGACGAGUGGCGGACGGGUGAGUAAUGUCUGGGAAACUGCCUGAUGGAGGGGGAUAACUACUGGAAACGGUGGCUAAUACCGCAUAACGUCGCAAGACCAAAGAGGGGGACCUUCGGGCCUCUUGCCAUCAGAUGUGCCCAGAUGGGAUUAGCUUGUUGGUGAGGUAACGGCUCACCAAGGCGACGAUCCCUAGCUGGUCUGAGAGGAUGACCAGCCACACUGGAACUGAGACACGGUCCAGACUCCUACGGGAGGCAGCAGUGGGGAAUAUUGCACA